rnacentral:rRNA from 1 species
CCUACGGGUGGCAGCAGUGAGGAAUAUUGGUCAAUGGACGAGAGUCUGAACCAGCCAAGUAGCGUGAAGGAUGACUGCCCUAUGGGUUGUAAACUUCUUUUAUAUGGGAAUAAAAUGUUCCACGUGUGGGAUUUUGUAUGUACCAGAUGAAUAAGGAUCGGCUAACUCCGUGCCAGCAGCCGCGGUAAUACGGAGGAUCCGAGCGUUAUCCGGAUUUAUUGGGUUUAAAGGGGGCGUAGGUGGAUUGUUAAGUCAGUUGUGAAAGAUUGCGGCUCAACCGUAAAAUUGCAGUUGAAACUGGCAGUCUUGAGUGCAGUAGAGGUGUGCGGAAUGCGUGGUGUAGCGGUGAAAUGCUUAGAUAUCACGAAGAACUCCGAUUGCGAAGGCAGCUCACUGGACUGUAACUGACACUGAGGCUCGAAAGUGUGGGUAUCGAACAGGAUUAGAUACCCCUGUAGUC